AUUGAACGCUGGCGGCAGGCCUAACACAUGCAAGUCGAACGAGUGGCGGACGGGUGAGUAAUGUCUGGGAAACUUCCUGUUGGAGGGGGAUCACCACUGGAAACGGUAGCUAAUACCGCAUACCAUCAGAUGUGCCCAGAUGGGAUUAGCUAGUUGGUGGGGUAACGGCUCACCAAGGCGACGAUCCCUAGCUGGUCUGAGAGGAUGACCAGCAAAACUGGAAUGGAGCAACGGUCAAGACUAUAAAGGGAGGAAGAAGGGGGGAAUAUGGCAAAAUGGGCGAAAGCCUGAUGCAGCCAUGCGGCGUGUAUGAAGAAGGCCUUCGGGUUGAAAAGUACUUUCAGCGGGGAGGCGUUACCCGAAGAAGAAGCACCGGCUAACUCCGUGCCAGCAGCCGCGGUAAUUC
rnacentral:rRNA from 1 species